UGCGAACGUUAGCGGCGGGCCUAACACAUGCAAGUCGAACGAGAACGCCCUUCGGGGUUACUAGAGUGGCGCACGGGUGAGCAACACGUAGGUAACCUACCCUCGAGCGGGGGAUAACGUUCCGAAAGGAACGCUAAUACCGCAUAAGACCACGCUGUCUGCGGACAGAGUGGGAAAAGACGGCCUCUUCUUGAAAGCUGUCACUUGGGGAUGGGCCUGCGUCCCAUCAGCUUGUUGGUAAGGUAACGGCUUACCAAGGCGAAGACGGGUAGCUGGUCUGAGAGGACGAUCAGCCACACUGGCACUGGAACACGGGCCAG
rnacentral:rRNA from 1 species